ensembl:lncRNA
CUAGACACAUUUCACCUUUCCACACCAUGAUGUACUCCAGCAACAUCUCUGCUCAAGAUCACGCAACUCACUUUUCCAUAAGGACCAGGAAAGAGAAGGAGACGAUUUGCUGCCUGUUUUCUCCUUGGUGAAAGGCUUCAAUUGCUGUGAUCCUAAGCCUAAAAGAAGCUACCGGAAUAACAAAAGAGUGAGAGAUUUCCUGUCAUUGCUCACAGCCUCUGCACCUUGAUGGCAUCUCCUGAGUACCAGCAGUGACUCCACAUAUCCAGCCUUAUGAUGAGUGCUCUGCAGAGUGCACUUCAGCUCAUGCUGACAUGACAGAAGUUAUCCAGUGAACGUCAUGCUCUUCUCUCUUCUCCGCGGCUUGGUCUCAGGGGAAGGUCUCAACAGCAAAGAGAACAUCAAAGUACAUUCAGUGUCUAAAGCACCAGAUACUCCAAUGUGGCAACAGCUCUUAGAGUAACACAGAACACAUUUCAAAUAAAUACCAAAAGAUGAAGAAAAAGCAAUAGUGCCAUCCAUCUAUAAAAACUCUCAAAAAAGCCAAAUGGAGUGACCUUAUCUUCUGAACUACUGCAAUUCACUUAUUUGAACACAGUUGUGAACAUGAAGCUGGGAUGAGGGAACCCACUGCUUUCUGGAAGAGUAGAAACAUUUGGAGAAUUAUACCCGUGAAAGUGACCUUUACCCCUAGAGCAAAGAGCUCUCUGAAGCAUAAAUCUCAAGAAGAAAGAAGCAAGAAAGGGCUUUAGCUGCUCAUUAAACUUUCUUCUGCUCAGCAAUAGUAGUACCAGACAAUUAAAAAAAAAAAAACAACAAAAAAAAACAUCCCUGAGGGAUGGUUAAUGACUGAUACGCUCACCAUGCUAUAUUUAGCUGAAGAUAAUCCACUAUGCUAUAUUUAGCUGAGGAAAAUGCAC